rnacentral:rRNA from 1 species
GAGCGGUAACAGCUCAAAUUUGAAAUCUGGCUCUUGCGGAGUCCGAGUUGUAAUUUGUAGAAGAUGCUUUGGGUUGUGGGUUCGGCCUAAGUUCCUUGGAACAGGACGUCAUAGAGGGUGAGAAUCCCGUAUGUGGCCGAGGCCCGCGCCUAUGUAAAGCUCUUUCAACGAGUCGAGUUGUUUGGGAAUGCAGCUCAAAAUGGGUGGUAAAUUUCAUCUAAAGCUAAAUAUGGGCCAGAGACCGAUAGCGCACAAGUAGAGUGAUCGAAAGAUGAAAAGCACUUUGGAAAGAGAGUUAAACAGUACGUGAAAUUGUUGAAAGGGAAGCGCUUGCAACCAGACUUGGGCGCUGCCGAUCACCUUGAGUUUUCUCGAGUGCACUCGACAGCGCACAGGCCAGCAUCGGUUCGGGUGGCUGGAGAAAGGCCGUAGGAAUGUGGCUCUCUUCGGGGAGUGUUAUAGCCUACGGUGCCAUGCAGCCCAGCCGGACCGAGGACCGCGCCUUCGGGCUAGGAUGCUGGCGUAAUGGUUGUAAGCGACCCGUCUUGAAACACGGACCAAGGAGUCUAACAUCUAUGCGAGUGUUUGGGUGGUAAACCCAUACGCGGAAUGAAAGUGAACGUAGGUGAGAACCCCUUUGGGGCGCAUCAUCGACCGAUCCUGAUGUCUUCGGAUGGAUUUGAGUAGACUA